GUCUACAGCCAUGCCACCCUGAACACGCCCAAUCCUGUCUGAUCUCGGAAGCUAAGCAGGGUCGGGCCUGGUUAGUACUUGGAUGGCAGACCACCUAGGAAGACUGGGUGCUGUAGGUA
rnacentral:rRNA from 1 species